GACGAACGCUGGCGGCGUGCCUAAUACAUGCAAGUCGACCUUAGUGGCGACCGGGUGAGUAACACGUGGGUAACCUGCACAUUAGAAGGGGGUAACACUUGGAAACAGGUGCUAAUACCGAAUACAGAUGGUUGGACCCGCGGGGCAGUAGCUAGUUGGUGAGGUAAAGGCUCACCAAGGCCACGAGGCAUAGCCGACAUGAGAGGAUGAUCGGCCACAUUGGAACUGAGACACGGCCCAGACUCCUACGGGAGGCAGCAGUAGGGAAUCUUCGGCAAUGGACGAAAGUCUGACCGAGCAACGCCGCGUGAGUGAAGAAGGUUUUCGGAUCGUAAAACUCUGUUGUUAGAGAAGCGGUAUCUAACCAGAAAGCCACGGCUAACUACGUGCCAGCAGCCGCGGUAAUAC
rnacentral:rRNA from 1 species